rnacentral:sRNA from 1 species
AGCUGCUGGACGGAAUCGAAAUGCGGAUGGAUAUCGAGGAAGCCGGGCGUGCAGAUCAUGCCUUCGACCGAGAGGAUGUCGGUAUUGGGCGAGACGAUCAGGCCGGGGGUGAUGUUCAUGGUGUCCGGAUUGCCGGAUUUGCCGACGCCGACGAUCUUGCCGUCGAGAACGCCGAUAUCGCCUUUGACGAUGCCGAGAAGCGGAUCGAUGAUCAGGGCGUUGGUGAUGACCAUGUCGAGGCCGCCAUCGCUCUGCUUCCACUUCGAAGCCUGGCCCAUGCCGUCGCG